rnacentral:rRNA from 1 species
AGAGUUUGAUCAUGGCUCAGGACGAACGCUGGCGGCGUGCCUAAUACAUGCAAGUAGAACGCUGAAGAGAGGAGCUUGCUCUUCUUGGAUGAGUUGCGAACGGGUGAGUAACGCGUAGGUAACCUGCCUUGUAGCGGGGGAUAACUAUUGGAAACGAUAGCUAAUACCGCAUAACAAUGGAUGACACAUGUCAUUUAUUUGAAAGGGGCAAUUGCUCCACUACAAGAUGGACCUGCGUUGUAUUAGCUAGUAGGUGAGGUAAUGGCUCACCUAGGCGACGAUACAUAGCCGACCUGAGAGGGUGAUCGGCCACACUGGGACUGAGACACGGCCCAGACUCCUACGGGAGGCAGCAGUAGGGAAUCUUCGGCAAUGGGGGCAACCCUGACCGAGCAACGCCGCGUGAGUGAAGAAGGUUUUCGGAUCGUAAAGCUCUGUUGUAAGUCAAGAACGGGUGUGAGAGUGGAAAGUUCACACUGUGACGGUAGCUUACCAGAAAGGGACGGCUAACUACGUGCCAGCAGCCGCGGUAAUACGUAGGUCCCGAGCGUUGUCCGGAUUUAUUGGGCGUAAAGCGAGCGCAGGCGGUUUGAUAAGUCUGAAGUUAAAGGCUGUGGCUCAACCAUAGUUCGCUUUGGAAACUGUCAAACUUGAGUGCAGAAGGGGAGAGUGGAAUUCCAUGUGUAGCGGUGAAAUGCGUAGAUAUAUGGAGGAACACCGGUGGCGAAAGCGGCUCUCUGGUCUGUAACUGACGCUGAGGCUCGAAAGCGUGGGGAGCGAACAGGAUUAGAUACCCUGGUAGUCCACGCCGUAAACGAUGAGUGCUAGGUGUUGGAUCCUUUCCGGGAUUCAGUGCCGCAGCU